GAUGAACGCUGGCGGCGUGCCUAAUACAUGCAAGUAGAACGCUGAAGGAAGGAGCUUGCUCUUUCCGGAUGAGUUGCGAACGGGUGAGUAACGCGUAGGUAACCUGCCUGGUAGUGGGGGAUAACUAUUGGAAACGAUAGCUAAUACCGCAUAACAGUAGAUGUUGCAUGAUAUCUACUUAAAAGGUGCAAUUGCACCACUACCAGAUGGACCUGCGUUGUAUUAGCUAGUUGGUGAGGUAACGGCUCACCAAGGCGACGAUACAUAGCCGACCUGAGAGGGUGAUCGGCCACACUGGGACUGAGACACGGCCCAGACUCCUACGGGAGGCAGCAGUAGGGAAUCUUCGGCAAUGGACGGAAGUCUGACCGAGCAACGCCGUGUGAGUGAAGAAGGUUUUCGGAUCGUAAAGCUCUGUUGUAAGAGAAGAACGAGUGUGAGAGUGGAAAGUUCACACUGUGACGGUAUCUUACCAGAAAGGGACGGCUAACUACGUG
rnacentral:rRNA from 1 species